GACGGAGGAUGCAAGCGUUAUCCGGAAUGAUUGGGCGUAAAGCGUCCGCAGGUGGCAGUUCAAGUCUGCUGUCAAAGACCGGGGCUUAACUUCGGAAAGGCAGUGGAAACUGAACAGCUAGAGUAUGGUAGGGGCAGAGGGAAUUCCUGGUGUAGCGGUGAAAUGCGUAGAGAUCAGGAGGAACAUCGGUGGCGAAGGCGCUCUGCUGGACCAUAACUGACACUCAGGGACGAAAGCUAGGGGAGCGAACGGG
rnacentral:rRNA from 1 species